GACGAACGCUGGCGGCGUGCCUAAUACAUGCAAGUAGAACGCUGAAGAGAGGAGCUUGCUCUUCUUGGAUGAGUUGCGAACGGGUGAGUAACGCGUAGGUAACCUGCCUUGUAGCGGGGGAUAACUAUUGGACACGAUAGCUAAUACCGCAUAACAAUAGGUGACACAUGUCAUUUAUUUGAAAGGGGCAAUUGCUCCACUACAAGAUGGACCUGCGUUGUAUUAGCUAGUAGGUGAGGUAACGGCUCACCUAGGCGACGAUACAUAGCCGACCUGAGAGGGUGAUCGGCCACACUGGGACUGAGACACGGCCCAGACUCCUACGGGAGGCAGCAGUAGGGAAUCUUCGGCAAUGGGGGCAACCCUGACCGAGCAACGCCGCGUGAGUGAAGAAGGUUUUCGGAUCGUAAAGCUCUGUUGUAAGUCAAGAACGAGUGUGAGAGUGGAAAGUUCACACUGUGACGGUAGCUUACCAGAAAGGGACGGCUAACUACGUG
rnacentral:rRNA from 1 species